rnacentral:rRNA from 1 species
AAGGCUUUCGGGUCGUAAAGCUCUGUCGAGGGGAAAGAAGUGUAUUGUGGUUAAUACCCGCGAUACUUGACGGUACCCCUAAAGGAAGCACCGGCUAACUCCGUGC